AGUGAACGCUGGCGGCAGGCCUAAUACAUGCAAGUCGAACGGCAGCACAGUGGAGCUUGCUCCAUGGGUGGCGAGUGGCGGACGGGUGAGGAAUACAUGGGAAUCUGCCCAGUCGUGGGGGAUAACGUAGGGAAACUUACGCUAAUACCGCAUGCGCCCUUCGGGGGAAAGCCGGGGACCUUCGGGCCUGGCGCGAUUGGAUGAGCCCAUGUUCGAUUAGCUAGUUGGCGGGGUAAAGGCCCACCAAGGCGACGAUCGAUAGCUGGUCUGAGAGGAUGAUCAGCCACACUGGGACUGAGACACGGCCCAGACUCCUACGGGAGGCAGCAGUAGGGAAUAUAGGACAAUGGGCGCAAGCCUGAUCCAGCCAUGCCGCGUGAGUGAAGAAGGCCCUCGGGUUGUAAAGCUCUUUUGUCCGGGAAGAAAAGCAUCGGGCUAAUACCUCGGUGUUCUGACGGUACCGGAAGAAUAAGCACCGGCUAACUUCGUG
rnacentral:rRNA from 1 species